ensembl:lncRNA
GCCCCAACUGUGGGGCGGGGGAAGCUUUAAUGGAUGCAUGAGAUUUUUUGCCUCCAGUGACACCUUAUUAAACUAAGCAGCAGGAAGCGUUGAAUGGUGCAGCCCUUCACCCCCCUCAGCUCACACAAACAAGUUAAGUUUAUGGAGCCUAGAUGUAUAUGUGGAGACAUGGAAGCUCUUGUAACAUCAUGGUAAUGUCAUUAGACUUAGCUACGUUAUUCACAUAUCGGUCUGAAAAUGCUCCAAACACAACCAUGAAAAGACAUGUAAUGGCAAAAAUGUAUGUAACCCUUCAAAAUGUUUCAUUGAACGAACAAGGUUAUAGAUCGCAAAUGCUGGGAUGGUGUGGCCAUGAAAAAUAACUGACCUGGAGUGUCACACACUGAUAAAAUGCCUCCUGGCUGUAGAGACACCACAAGUUGGUUUGGAGGCCACCUGUAGGUAUAAGAACUGCCUGGCCCUGUUGUGGACUGAGAAAGGUUCUUGGCAGUCUUCUGAGCACGUAGCUGUUGAGACCUUUUUUCCCUUGCAGGGUAAUAAACUGAAAAAGACAUUUGACUCAGAGCCUUUAUUCUUAUUUACCGAUUGUCUGUGCAAAAUCUUCUAUAACAGACAAAGUAGUUCCAGAGUUACUACACUUUUUGUCAUGGGUGUGCCAUUGUUGGAGCAGAAGCCUAGAGGUAAUUAAAACACGAUGAGGCUUUUCUCUUCUGCUCAACAGCAGGCUCUAAUCUAUUUUUUAGAUUCAAGACAUGUUUAAGAAUGCAGCACACAGAUGUAUGAUGGGAGAUUUUCAGCAUCAAUACAUCAGCACUUUGCAUUACAUGUGUAAGAAGAUGUAAGUCGGUGCACACAUUAUAAACUACUUACUUAUGGACAGGUAUACAAUAGGUGAGCAGGACGGAAAUCAGGUACUCACAAAUGCUUUGUUAAAGUAAAAAUGUCAGCGCGUCGAUGGCUUAACAAUAUACCUACGUUUAUAGACUUAUUAUAGAAGACAGGAGUGCCAGGGAAAAAGGAGCGACAAGACGGAGAAUUUUUUCUUCUGUGGAAAGGGCAAUUAGAGAAAGUAAAGUGAAGGUUUGCUAAAGCUCAAUGCAUUUAUUUUCAGUCCCUGAUGGAAGACGAAGAGUAGCUGUAAGGUUACUCCAAUGCAAAGUAAUUUUAUAACUUAUAAGAGCUGAGAGAAAAUGAUCUACUUUUAUAUUUUGACGGUCAGGCUGUUGAAGGAAACUUAGCAGGGGCAUGAAAUUGAAACAGACAAUGUAGGAGUGGACCCAUGAUGCCUUUUCUUUACAUUUUGUCCUUUCUAAGCAUUUUAAAUGCAAUAAUAAUAACCCUAACCCUUUUGCUACAUUUACACCUAGCGUCAACAGUGUUCAAAUUCACAGGUUCAAUCCAGGCCACCUCCAUUUGCCACUCAGAAAGAAUCCGGCCAUUCUGAUGAUGAUUUUCAAAAUGAUGCCCUUCAAAAUCUCCUUUGUAAGCCAACUUCCAAAUCACAUUCACAAGACAAAUUCUCUAUUUUAAAAUUAGAUGUGAAUGGAAACAGUCCAUAGUACAAUAUAUUGUACUGAAGUUGCAUUGAUUUACUACGGCUGCCACAUAUAUCAUCUCAUUUUGAAAUUAGACUUGAACAAAAAAAAAUGCUUUCUGUCCGUCAUCUGUCACUUGACUCCGGCUACAGUAAAAAUGACUGCAGGAUGUGAAAACAGGGAAAUGAAGGAUUUCAAGACCCAUGCCCUGCAGGUGUGUAACCCUAUAGCUGUAACAGGGCUGUUCGUCACGGUUCCUUGUUUUCUUGUUGAUCGUUAAAGGCCCAAAUUUGUUCUACCACCACAUUGCAAACUGAGGCACUUAGAGACACUGAGAUAAGGAUAAUCCACUCAAAACAGAUAUUCAGGAAAACUGAUCCAGGUGCUUCGUACAAACACCUUGGUACAUCCAUCUGCAACCAAACAACAGCCAAGGCAAUGUUACACCCUCCACAAAGAAAGGUGUAGGACAGUUUAGCGAAGGGAAAUAGAUGAUUCCAACAUAUUGCAUCACCGGUCUGCCUGUCCGUACAGAGAGAAAGAAUUUCUGCCAAUACGACACUGAGGCAACAUUACACUGUGUCAGAGGAGAAAGAAAUAGACAUAAAGGCCCUGGGGCCUCAUUUAUAAAACCUUGCGUAGGAUUUGCGCCAGAAGUGGCGUACGGAUGAAACGUAGGACGUGCGUACGCACAGAAAUAUUCAGACUUAUAAAACCGUGCGCACGCACGUCCUACGCAGUUUCCUCUUAAUAAAUCACAAUCACUUCUAAAUGCAGCGCAGCUUUUGUGGCUUCAUGUCACGGCCAUAGUUGCCCAUGUAUAGUCUGUGGAACGCCCACAAAUUAAUAUUCAUCGAUUGCGAAAUCAUAAAACACUGAGAGAAAAACGAAGAAACGUAACUUCACUGUGUAAAGUCGAAAUGAUCAUUGGGAGGUGGAAAGGAGAAGUCAAAUUCUUUUUGGUGGGCACAGUAUGGGCAUUACUAAUGCCAAAAAGGCACUUGAGAGGCGAAAGGUUGCAGAGCAACGCUGCAGCCUCACAACCUCGGACCGUGGCCGAAAUAAAGAAAAUAUGGUCUGACAUCAAAGUGGAUGAUGUGGAGAUGCAAAAAAGCGUUUAGCGCGCCAUCGCCAAAGUGUGUCUUCCCCGGGUGGGGGAGAGGGGACACCGGAGCUGUGCCCUCUUGAUGAGAGACUGGCGGCAAUGAUUGGGGAUCGGGGACAGGGGAGUCGAGGCACGUUUGGAAGCUGUGCCACGUUAUGUAGCACAGCACAUGCCAGCACGAUUUAGCUCACCUUUUCAGGAGUAAACAAUAACCUCCCUCCAGUGCAGUAAAGGCAGCGCCAUCUGCCCAUAAACAGGCCGAUGGUGCACUGCACUACAGCGCGAAUCCUUCCAUUUGCCACAUCUUCUAAGAGCGCAAGAUCAGCCAUUUCGCGUCAUUAGGAAUCAUUUUAUUAACCAUUUUUAUCUAACCAUUUGAUUGCAUCUGACAAGCAACAGCUGUGUUUUGAGUAUGAAUUGCAUAACAAGCCAAUAUUAUUGCAGAAUAUAUUUCACUUUACUUUUUGAAAAUGUGUUAAUUUGUAUUUCUGUUUGUUUUACACUGCAGAUCGAUCAAACGGGUGUUCGUGUUAUUUAUGAGAGGGAGUAUUGGCAUUUCAUUUACACAAAAGUCUAGUUUUACACACUUUCACACACGUUUGCGUGUUUCUUGCAUUUGCCAACGGUUCUCAUUUCACCCAUUUUUUUGCGUACGCAUGGGUCCGAGCUUGCGUGAAGGGCCGCACAUUUUUCCGUCAAGUUUGCUUUUUAUAAAUACCAAUUAUUGCGUAGAGAGCGGCGUACGCCGCCUUUUGUGCGUAUGCAACGUUUAUAAAUGAGGCCCCUGGUCAGCCUGAGAACAGAAGGAAUCUGCAUCCAGAGGUCAGGUCACAGAUUUAGUUUUUUGUAGUAAUAAUGGAUACCAAAGAGCUGAAGGUGUGCAGGGAUGUGGCUCAAAUUUCUUUUGUCAAGCCAAUGACUUCAAUAACACUGCCAGGUCCUCUAUGUAAAUAUGUCCUCCACUGUUGCCACCAGGGCCAAGCUUUUCAUAUAAGCACCGAUGUGGUACUCGGCGUUCAGCCAUCAUGUUUGUAAAUCGAAUCACUGGCACGCAACAUAUUAGCAUUGACGCUCUACAAUGACGGUUUCCACAGAGUGCAAAUCCAAGAGUGUAACUUAGCGGGAGGUAUGGGACAAACAGAAUGAAAAAUGAGGUAUGGAAAGAAUGAAGGAAAUAAGAAACAAGACAAAAACGGAAAUGAAGGAAAAAAACAGCAGAAUGAAAUGCUAAUGUAAAUGUAAGGGAUAUUGAGUCAAAGAGAGGGUUGUGGAUUAAUUUAUUCACAGUUUUAACUAUUUUAUAAUUACUCUCAAACUCGUUGACUUUAUCUGACUCGUGAUGAGGACCCACGCAUCCUCACAGACCAGGGACUUUGAGUAACACACACUCAGAUGACAAAAUGAGAUUUGGAUUUUUCAAUUCAUUGAUUUACUAGAACAACACUGAAGUAAACGAAGCUCUUUCAGGAAAGACACUAACGAGGGGAUGAUACAACACAGCUUAUACAUUUCAUUGAUCAUUCAAUUUUCCUCCUGUGUCCCACUAUUAUCUUCCUUGUCCUUCACUAGCCCCCAUAUCUGGUGUGUUGAGUCUAUUCUGGCUCCCCCAUUGUUGUCACAGUGUGACAUUUCCUGUCUUAUUUUGUAGUUUCUGCUUCUUGUCUCCCUGGGUAACUUCACGUCCACCUGUGUCCAAUCACCUGCACCUCCCUAGUGUAUUUAAGCAGUGUGUGUCUCUUGUCACUUGUCGCGUCAUUGUCUAUUGUCCCGGAUGUUCUUAGGUCAUGCCUGCCCUUUUGCCUCUGUUUCUGUGUGCGUUUUUGCCCGUUGGCCUUUUGAUUUUUGAACAUUUGGACUAUUAAAGUCUUCUUUUGUUGCUCAAAGUUUGCGUGUGAGUCCUGCCUUCCCCGCAUCCCUGACAAUUGGGACUAUUCAAUUCAAUUUCAAUUCAUUUUAUUUUGUAUAGCCCAAAAUCGCAAAUUACGAAUUUGCCUCAGAGGGCUUUACAGUCUGUACACAUACGACAUCCUCUGUCCCGAAACCCACACAUCGGCACAGGAAAAACUCCCCAAAAAAUGAAAAAACCCUUCCAAGAAGGAAAAAAAAGGGAAGAAACCUUAGGGAGAACGUCAGAGGAGGGAUCCCACUCCCGGGAUGGACAGACUACAAUGGAUGCCAUGUGUACAGAAUUAACAAUGUAUAAUGCAUGCAAUUCCUAUGACAGAAAUGAUUCAAAUAAUUGUGAGUAGUAAGCCAGGCGCACAGCAGGACCACUGCAGGGGCAACCACCAUCCACAGAAGCCUGUUGGGGGGGGGGGAGCACAAAGACUUUAGGAGAGGGUAAUGUUGGUUUAUGAGUACAGUAAUAUGAUUAAUAUUUAUAAUAAUAAUAAUGAUGAUGAUGGCAGCAGCAGGUGUCAGCAGGGCCACGGCAGGUGUCAGGACCAGGGUCCAGAAGGAACUACAAUCUAGUUAUGUGCAUUAAUAAAACGUGAAUUAUUGUAGAAAGAGAGCCUGAGAGAGGAGCUCGGUGUGUCCUAAGAAGUCCUCCGGCAGUCUAAGCCUAUAGCAGCUAAACUAAGGGCUGGUCCGGGCUAACAUGAGCCAGUCCUAACUAUAAGCAAAAUUAAAGAGGAAAGUUUUGAGCUUUACUUUAAAAUAGCUGACCGAAUCUGCCCCCGGACUGAAAAUGGAAGCUGGUUCCACAAAAGAGGAGCUUGAUAACUGAAGGCUCUGGCACCCAUCCUACUUUUUAAAACCAUAGGAACAACAAGUAACCCAGCAUCUAUGGAGCACAGCUGCCUUGUAAUACGGUGUUACAAGCUCUUUAAGAUAGAUGGUCCCAGAGUUUUCUUCUCUCUGAUGAAGCAUUUAACUAUUUGGAGAGUUCAUGGCUGAGGUUUCAUGGAGUCUGGGUUGGUUCGUUCCAAACACAGUAUCUAGUCGGCGAGCAUCCGAUGUGCUUCCUGCACGUUGGCAUGCAGAAGCAUAUAAACACUGAUCAGUAAACUCACAGGGGCAGUAGAAGGGUUUAAAGUUUACAAUAAAGGAUUCCAGAUGAGGAGAACAAUAUGGUUGGAUCACUGACACCUCGUUGCAUCGGCUGGUGUUGAUAAAAAAACAGAUUCCUCCACCUUUUGUCUCGCCUUAAUGCUCCGUGUUGCAGUCCGCUCUAAGCAGCUGGAACACGGAGUCUGGUAUUGAUCCACAAAGCCACGUCUCCGUAAAGCACAGAACCGAGAAUGAAGAAAAGUCUCGGUUUUUCCCCCACAAAUGUCAGGAUCCCUGUUCCCGUUCUCUCUUUUGCCUCGGUUUUUACCCCCAAGACUCCUUCCCUCAUGUGUCCGUCAUCCCCAUUUUAUUCUGUUUUGCCAUGUGCUUAUUGUGGGUGUGUUCUUGGUCCCACCUCCACAUUGCCACAUUCCUGAGCGGGAUACAGCUAUGACCAAUGAGGACUCGUCAUUGGUGGUUCUUCAACCCUGGUUGAAGUCUAUUCUGUUUUAUUCAACGGUAAUCACCACUGCCGGUCUGUGAGUUCCUCUGCCUUACCUUGUGCGUUACUGACUUUCUCUCCGUCUGUAGAGUCCCUGUACUCUAGCUACCUAUGGACUCGAGCCACGGGACUCACGCCGUGAUCAGUAAAUCCGCCUAAAUAAUUACAGAAGUUUCCAGGUUGAAUCCUCUCAAUGUUUUUGGAAUCAAUCAUUUCUCCAAAUUAGAGUUUGGCUAGUGGUACCUUUAGUAGUAGUAGUAGUUUCUGUCUCUCUCAGAUGGGGAAGUGUGAAUGUGGGUUUGCAUGCUGUAGUUUCUUCAAUGCUUUUUAGUUAGCAUCCCAUUACCUUAUUGCACGCUGUAGCGCUCUUCGAUUGUCCACUACAAAGAUUGUUGUAACAAUUUGGACCUCUACAGCCUGGGAAAUAUCUUGGCACAUAUAGUGUUUUGGAAUGCUCCUUCUUUUCACACGUCCAACAUUGUCUGUUGCUUCAAUACAUUAAACUCUGGGAUUAGCAGUGUUUUCACAUGAACCUUCAUACCUCUGUAAUCCGCACCCCCUAGCUGAUUUCCUACCUUAAAACCAAGAUUACCUUGUAUGGAGUUUUUGCUGUCAGUUUCCCGUGCUUUAAACUAUUACGCAACACAUGUAAUGACUAAAAGGAAAAACAGUUUACUGGCUAUGUGGAAUGCUUUUACAAUUCCAUUUUUCCACAACAGCAAAAUAUUGAGCUCCGUAUGGCAGCUUGUUUUCAAUGGUCUAAAUGCAAUAUUAAAAUAAUUCCCACAGGAAUCAAACGCAUGUUAGAGAAUCACAGUUCCCCACUGAGCUUAAAACUCAUGUGGGGAUUUCUCAGGGGAUAGUGUGUGUCUGUGUGUGUGCAAUCAACUGUUCCCAUAUAUUCUGACAGCAUACAUGUGUGCAGAGAUUGUUGCAUAUCCCCAGUACAGUGCUGCAUGUUCAUCGGUCUGUAUGUGUUUGUAAGUGUAUAAAACUUGGGUUAGGGUUAGGGUUGGUGUUGAUGGAUUUCUUUCUGCUUUGACAAGCCGCUCUCUUGCUGCGUAAAAGAAACUAGCUAGUAAUGCAUCGGUGGCCCUUUGACACAAUUGUUUAUUGAUCCCAAGGACAAAUGGUCACAACAGUAAUUACACUUUAUAUCAUGGGUAUUUUUUGAGCAGUGGCCAAAAAGCGGCUCAGGGUGCAGCAGUUAAACCUUACUGUUAAGGCCUUUUUAGAAUGCUUAGGGUUAGAGGCUGUUACGCGCCACAAAACAGGUAAAAAUAAAACAAAUGGCCGAAAACCUUUCCAAAACUUCCAAAGAAUAACUCAGCAGCACAAUGGCACACCUCACACAGCAGACGAGGGGAAGUUUAUUUGGAGCUUUUGGUGAUCAUCUGAUUUCCGCAUCAGAGACUCACUUGUAUGCCCUAGUAAGUCAGAAGACGUAAACACACAAUGAUUUCACAGUGAGACAGCCCUAACCCCCCAUGGAGUCAGCGGGAGCGUGCCUCAAAGUUUGCGUCGUAAGGGUGCAGAUUGGGAUUGGACCCAAGUACUUCUGUUGCUUGACUCAAAAAGUACUUGUGUUUCCUUAGUUUACAUUUGAAUAUAAAUGUGGUUUUGGAGUCUCUGUAAAAUGUCUGGUUUUCUGGCACUUAGCAACACUACGCCCACUCGUCUUUUCAUUUUACAUGCAGUGUUAUCUCUAGUCAUUUUGUCCAUUUAAGACCAACUGAACUGCUACCCUUGCGAUUGGUGGCAUUACGAGCUGACAGGUCCAUCCAUCCAUUUUCAACCGCUUAUCCGGGGUCGGGUCGGCCGGGCAACAGCUCCAGCAGGGGAGCCCAAACUUCCCUUUCCCGACAUCUACCAGCUCUGACUGGGGGAUCCCAAGGCGUUCCCAGGCCAGUGCAGAGAUAUAAUCUGUCCACCUAGUCCUGGGUCUUCCCCGGGGCCGCUUCCCAGCUGGCCGAACCACCUCAACUGGCUCCUUUCGACGCAAAGGAGCAGCGGCUCUACUCAGAGCUCCUCACGAAUGGCUGAGCUUCUCACCCUAUCUCUAAAGGACACGCCAGCCACUCUCCUGAGGAAACCCAUUUCAGCCGCUUGUACCCGUGACCUAGUUCUUUCGGUCAUGACUCCUUCAUGACCAUAGGUGAGGGUAGGAAUGAAGAUUGACCGGUAGAUCGAGAGCUUUGCCUUCCGGCUCAGCUCUCUUUUCGUCACAACGGUGCGGUAAAGCGAGUGCAAUACCGCCUCCGCUGCUCCGAUUCUCCGGCCAAACUCACACUCCAUCUUCCCCUCACUCGUGAACAAGACCCUGAGGUACUUGAACUCCUUCACUUGGGGUAAGGACACAUUCCCUACCUGGAGUAGGCAAUCCAUCGGUUUCUUGCUGAGAACCAUGACGCUCGCUGUCGGGCCCUCCAUCUGGGCCCUACAUCUGGGCCUGGCUCCAAAUGGGGGCCCCGGGCUUCCUCCGGGCCGGGUAACUCCUUCCCUCUUCCGUUUUUUCAUAGGGUCUUUUUGAACCAUUCUUAGUCUGGCCCCUCGCCUGAGACCACUUUGCCAAGAGUAACCCUACCAGGAGCACAAGGCUCCCGACAACACAACCCUCAGGGUCAUAGGGACACACAAAUCUCUCCACCACGAUAAGGUGACGGUUCCCAGAGAGGAGUUGACAAGUAAAUUGUUAAAAGUGUAACCGCAGGAGUGAGGUUAGUUGAAGGAGGACGUGAUGUGAAUUUGAAUUAGAGCUCUGGCCUCACUAACCUUGUGGGAGGGGAAACCGGUGUAUCUGCUCUCUCAGUGACGUCCUGUCAUGCCAAGAAUUAUUGUUAAAUUCUUCCACACAUUGACGGUAACAAAGGGAAGAUGAUGGAGAACACUGGGGCGUACUGUAGAUGAUACAUUGAGGUGGAAAAGAUGAACGAGGGGUGGAGGUACAGAGGUCCGCUGUCACAGUACGAAUAAGAGGCACCCUGCUGUGUAUGCUUUCACAGCAGCUUGUUUGUUUAUUUGCCAUUUGUUUGUUCUCUUGUCUUUUUAUUUUCCCUUGUACUGGGAGGCUCUGAUGGAGAAUUAGCUUAUCUGCUCCAACCUGUCUGCUACCUGUCCCUCUUUCUUUUUUAAAAUGAUUGUAUUGGCCCAUCCCAGGUCGACUGCGAAUGCCGGGUUCUCAUGAGUAUGCGGCUCACCAAAUGAGACAUAGCCUGUUUGUCUGUGUUCCCUUCAUGGGUGGGGCGCCAUCCUCCGUCCACAACAUUAGCCCGUUCUACCCAGCUGCCUUCUAUCUACUCAUCACUCCACAGCAUAUCUACCCCGAUUUCUGAUCCACAACGCCAGAUUGUUGUAAAACCGUCAGUGGUAGAACUUGUUCCAGGUUGUACAUAGAAGCCUGUUUUGGAGUAUUUUCAAAUGCUUGAAUAUAUAUACUUGUCUUGUCUCCCUGUGGCCACAGUGUUGGAUCAUCCUCCCGGUUCUCUCGGUCUGCCGGCCUUGCUCUGUCUGGUCUCAUCACCUUGCUCCCCACCAAUUCCGUAUACUUUUCCACUGGUAUCCUGAAAAAAAUUGCUCUCACUGGUUUAUGUUCACGACACUUGAAUUGAAUUAUUGUAAUAUAAUCAGUGCACCAAAUGCUAAAUGAUGCAUUCGGCUUUGUGUUUGCUAGAUUGUAGGUGAUGGUGACCAAUAUUGUCUGGUUCAUAAUAGUAUACACAUUGAAAAAAUCUGUCAUAUAUAUAUAUUCCCCUCCUUGUCUGACUUAUAGUUUUCCUUUUUAUAUUCUUCUCAUCUCUUUUUUUGCCAAUUUACAUUUCUUCAUUCCUCCUAUUUUUGAUUUUCUCCUUCACAUCUCCGACUCUGCAUUCUCUUUCCUACCUCCCUCUUAUUUUCCUUCGUCCCUGCGCAUCAUUGUCAUCGUUGCCUGUUUCCUCUGCUCUUGGGGUGGGAGAUUAACCCACAGAAUGCUAAUCUGUAGCUUAAUAGGCAGCUGAUCCCUUUAAAAUGCCAUGCUUCGGAGGGUAGGAGAGUAUUUACAUGGCCUCUAGCAAAUGUGCUGCACCAAUGGGAAAUUAAUUACCCGGCCCAACUCUUAGAUGCUUCCAAAUCUGCCCCUUCUCUCUCGUUCUUGCUCUCUCAUUUGAUUUCCAUUCAAGAAUUAUUUUUAAACAAUGAUGUUGCAAAUUAUGAGAAGCGUCAUGGAAAUGGCAAAUUUCAAAGCCACAAUUAUUUACACGUUCUUAAAGAAACCUUUUAUUUCAUUAUUAAAUAAUUAGAAAAGAUAAUGCAAAAAAAACUGGUGGAAAAAUGAGCCUUGGGUUUGGCACAGGGUUUUUUGUAAAUGCAUUUUGUUCAACUAAUUGAAAAAUGUUCUUUCGGCAGGAACUUCAGCGGUGCAAUAUUCAAAUCUCAAAGAUUGCACUUUCAUUGCUUUUUGUCUUCAAAUAGAAACACGAAAUGGUCUGCCUUGAGCAUGCCCCUCUUUAGAGGUCGGUCGCCAAAAUAAAGCUGAAUGAUGGUUCAAAGCAGACACAUGUAAUGACUGAAAUUCUCUCUCAAGGGACAAUAUCUACUUUUGUAUAUUCCUUUGAUAUCAUUUUUUCAUUUGACUUUUCAAGUGUGAUAGGAGUUUUGACGGGAGAAAAGGCUUGGAGUAGUUGAAGUUCUGGCUGUUUCUUUUACAGUUGGGAUUUUAAACUGCGUCAAUAGAGCCAAGCUGCUCCCACAAAUCUUACAAAACGUAAAAAAAUCAUAAUUUGUUGCUUCGUCCUCUGGUGCGGUUCUUUUAUCAACUAAAUCAAUACUGCUACCUGUCUCGUUGUCCCCUAAAUAUAAGCUUAGUAUAUAUAUGGCAUUUUUUGGGGGUAUGGAGGUAUGCCCGUUUUUAAAACGGAUGAUAUUGUUAUCAGACUACUGUCGAUAUGUUUUUUAUACAACAAUAAAAUGUUAGAACUAUCAUGGAAAGGACGCUGCAAAAGAUUUAUUAUGAUCCAGCACACCCCGGCAGGCUGGGCAGUGUGGCUAAACUGCAAUGCCGUUAGAGAAUGUACCGGUGUGUGUCAAUGUCCGCGGUUAAUUCAUUUUCAACAAGACGUGUAUACUUGCCGAGUUUACUUGCCAAGGCAGCUGUACAUAUCAGAUAUAUGGAUGUGGUUCAAGAUCUCAUAGGCGCCUAUAACAAUUGAAUGAAAAGGUUGUCUUCAACCAUCUAUACAAGUUUAAAAACUCAGAAGUGUUUAGGAAGGGUUAUAAACAAACAUUCACCGGUUAGCAUUUUAUAAUAUCAAAGUGUAUAACCAGAGAUCCGCCUACGGCUUACUGACUGUCGGCGAAAAGGGCAUUUUACGAGAGGGAGUUGCAAAAUGUAAUUAUCGGUAAAAACAAAGUAAUUAAAUUAAAAAACCUAUUGGAAAGAAAAAUCUGAAGGAGCGAGAAACAGGUGCUAGUAAAAUUACAAAAAAAAAAACACUACACGUCAUUUAGCGGACGCUUUUAUCCAAAGCGACUUACAAUAAGUGCAUUCAACCAUAGGGAUACAAACUCAGAGUAAAAAACAAAAGUGCAAUUUCCUCAAAAAAGCCAAUUUACAUUUUGCUAUAGAUAAGUGGCGUUACAAGUACAAUUUAAGUGCUACAAUUUGUAGUCUAUUAGUCGAGGGUAGAGUCUGAAGAGGUGUGUCUUUAGUUUGCGGCGGAAGAUGUGAAGGCUCUCUGCGGCCCUGAUGUCAUCAGAGAGCUCGUUCCACCAUUUCGGAACUAAAUCCAGGACUACUAAAGUCUUUGCACUGGACCUAGGGGUUUAUGACUGUUUACAGGCAACAACUAAAGCGAUUCAUUUGAGAAUUAGUAGUUACCCUCCUUUGGCAGGUAUAUGCAUAACAGCAUUGUUAAAAACUGCAUUUACAUUCUGGAGUAGCAAAGGAGUCAACUAUAGCCUUUGAAGGACAGCUGGUGGCAAUACUGGGUUUUAAACAACACCUUUUCCAUUAUCCACUAAUAUCAAAUCCUUUAAUACCAAAUUCCUAGCAGACAUUCAUGCCGGUUGUUACACUUUAUACGUAUAUAGCAAUAUUGUCGACUAUCAAUUAGUUGGUAACAGCUAUGUACCGCUCCUUCGCUGUUUAAACUUUGCGAAUGAACAAUGUCGUUGGUAGAGACUCACAGGGCUUUGGAAAGACCGGCCACCGAUUGUGGAGGUUGUUGAGGUAAAAACAUGAGACAUGUCAAAAAGAAGGUCGGCACAGAUCCAGGCUGUUCCCUGAUAAAACGCUCCCGGACUCUGGCAAAAGAAACUAUGGCUCUCAUUCAUGAUCAAUCGACAGAAUUCAGAACUGGAUCUCUCUACGGUUCCUUUCACGCAAAUGUCCGUCGAGAGACAUAUUCUCAUCAAAAUCCCUCCCAUCUCAGCCAUAACAGACAGCGGCCCACUGGAGUUUCAUAUCUCUGCCAGUGGAGAAGAUUACUUUACUUUUUGACGGGGUUAGGGUUAGUAUUCUAUUCUUACAAGUUAACAUUGAUUUCUCGUUAAAAAUGCAAUCAUAACACUUUAUUUUUACAUCGUUAGACUUCACAAAGUGUGUUUACGGGGUGCAGGUCCCCAUUCACUUUGAAUAGGGUGACGUCAUCAGUUGCAGUCCGUAUUUAUUUCGUAUGUAUCACUACGAAAUUUGUAUGUUCAAGAUUUUCGUACACAUUUUUACGAACAGGUUUUGGAGAUCAGGCUGUGAAGACGCAGUUCAGCAGCGCCCUGUUUAGUAAAGACACAGCUGAGCAUAUGGACGAUGCGUCUAUAAAAAGGGGACAAUGAGGGAUUAGCGAGGAGGCCACACCGGAGCAAGCCGCAGUCGAUUUAAUUGCUCCCAAUACCCCAUUCUCUCUGACUGCGGCAGCUGCACAUUACAAGGUUAAGAUUGUGUCAGCCAGUGUAUUUGUGAAGAAAGUUUCCAUAGCUCCUAGCAGAGCCCUACAACAGACGAAUGCCAAAUAUGCCAUUGACCGUUACAUUGAAAACAUUCUCCAUGCAACUAGGAGAAUCUUUAUAUGGGGCACCUUACAUUUCAUGAAUGUCUUCACAUACCCACUAAACAAUGUGUCUGUCUUAUUGGGGAAAUGCCAGACUUCAUCAUUAUGAUGAUGCAUUUUGGGCAUUGAUGGACACAAUCCUGUACCCCUUUUCCACAGCCUUCUGCAGCUCAAGUGAGACCCACACCUCCGACAGUUGUCGGCUAGUGACAUGACUAGUUUAGUUCAAAGCCUCAGCACACUUGCCGCACAGCGGGAACAUGAGUUUUUCAUGACAUCUGUAGACGGACUGAAACAAACCUCUGGGUGGGAGCACCCUAUAUGAGGCCGAAGUAAUUAUUGAUAGAUUCAAAAUCCUUGUCUGACGGGAUACUGUUUUUUCUUUUUUGCCUGUACAGUUGGAUACAGACUUGUAUCUGAUUUUUUCAUCACCAUCAUUGCUGACCCAAUGGUACAUUUUCGUAGCAUUCGUACGCCCACUAAAGAGAGCCUUUCUAGGAUCCAGACGUUCGUGCUUUUGUAUGUGGCCAUAAAGGCCUGUACAGGAGCACUGGACAGUUUUAAUGAGGCCUACUCACAACAUUCAAACCAUAUUUUUGCAGGCCAUCUAUUUCAUCCAAACGCCUUGUAUUGUCUAACAAAUGGAACUUUGGCGACUGGGUUCUUGUCACUCUGUACGUGACAUUUGAAACAUAUAGAAAAAAACAUCCAGCAAGUUCAUAACAAGUGUUUGUUACAGAAUUAUAACCGUCCACAUAGAACGGAGCAAACUGCUCCCCAUGGUUGAGGGCAUGUUUCUUCUGUGUGAGGCACAUAUUCAAGCCACUGCAUGGAAACAUCAGAAUGUUUUAUUCUGUGCUGUGUACGCCCCUUCAUACGUCAGAGCCACUGUGUCCCUUGGGAGAAACAAUGUUUUAAACACACCCAUACAGCUCAAUGCCAACGUGGUGAAAGAGAAAGGGUCAAGCUGGGGGCACUCUAGGAAUGUUCCACGAUAGAUUGAUCAUGCUCUUCGCAAUACCUCUACAUCAUUGACACAGUAGCUUCUAAUGUAGCUAGCUUCUAGCUUCAAAUGUUCCUCGCAAACGGUGCCGUACCGUCUUAUGAAUGCAGUUUUUUCUUGUCGUAUCCGUAGAAUGAUGGAUACGGGUAUUUCCCAAAAUAGUAUUCACUCUCCGUAGCGUUGAACUUGUGGGGAAAAUACCCCUACUCCACGUCCUCCAACCCCAAUGCUGAGGGUGUUUUUGACAAACGCAUAGGGAGAAAACUAAAUGAGUCAACCCAUCUCUGCUGGUAUGCCUUGUCAUACAUAAGCAUGACCCGGCUCCCACUCAUGGUCACCUGGGGCAUGACGAUCUGUUUUACAAAAUAUUCCAGCACUAUAUAGUUGUCAAAUCCAGAUGCAUUAUGGGCUAUGAAUGUAUAGCCGUUGUAUGUAAACAUAUCCUCUUUCCCUCAAGAUCCAUUGCACAUACAUGAUAUGCCUCGUACUUACCAUUAUGAAAUUGUGUCUCAAAGUCAAACAAUAUGUAGGCUGUUUGUGGAUCUUUCUUUUCAAUGGGUUGAAUGAAACAUUUCUGCUCGUCCAUUCGUUGCUCCUCACAGUGUAAACAAACAUUCGGCAUGCAUUUUUACCAUAUCUGUAUGUUUUUCCACAUGCCCCACACUAUUUCAUAGCGUCACAAGGUAUGACUGCUUGUAGUGCUUCUGGAAGCUUGUGUUGAUCAAAACAUUUACAUAUGCGUUUACAGUUGUUGCAUUUGAUGUGCGUGUUCGAGACACUAAUAUAACUGACGUGCCAAAGUUGUUUACAAUUGUGGUAUCGGGUCUCAUAUGUUGGGUCUUGGUGAAA